ensembl:lncRNA LINC01814 long intergenic non-protein coding RNA 1814
AGGGACACUUCAGCUGAGCCCUCUGUGAAAACACCAACCCCUGCAGGAGGUGGCAGGCGGAGGGGCCCAGGCUGCACUCAGGCUGUAGGAAGUUUGUUUCUGUGUUUGCCCUCCCCAUGGGCUGCACCAUCCUCAGUGCAGGGGCUUCAGCUUCCACACCUAGCACAGUGCCGGCCUUGCUGGACACUCAAGAAAGGCCUUGAGCUUCCUUUUUUCUUCUCGCUGUGGAAAUUGCCUGGAAAGCUAUGAACUGUUGGUUCUUGAAUCAGUUGGCUGCCCCGGAUGUCUGAAUCCCUUGGAAGGAACCUGGAGGAGUUGGCUGAUGGGCUCCAGGUGCUACCGGAUCACCCUAACAACCCUCUGGGACCUGUGGCCAUGUGUUCACAACAGCAGCCAUUACAGGUGUUUCCUGAACUCUUGUCGCGAGCCUCUGUCGGCUCCAUCUCAUCGAUCCUCCCAGCAACCCACAAGGAAGCUUCACAGAGAGGCAGAUGCCACACAGGCCACCCACCCAGAUGCAGAGCCAGAUUCCCUGCGUGGACUGGACGGGAGUUUCCCAGCUGGAGUUCUCUCGGCCAAGCUGCCUGUGACAUGGGGUUGGAGGUGCUCCAGAGAGUCAUGGCCACCCCUGGAGGAAGUGACUUGUGGCUGACUGCUCAAGGGGAAGUCCUGUGGCAGUGGAGUCGUCAGCAUUAAUUCAAAUAAGAUCUCUCCCUGCACACAAUCUGCUUUCGUGUUCCUGAUGGAUUGAAUCAAGAGUGAAUGAGCUCCUACUUCGCGAAAGCAAAACAAACUAAACGCAUCAACCACGACCGCAGAGCCCCCAUCUCUCCCAGGAGGGUGAGCCCAUGUUGUGUUUUCAUUUGUCAGAAAUCUAUCUUAGGAAGCCAUUCCUGAGAUCUGUUCUAAUUUAGGCCAUUUUUAAAAAAAAUAAUGCAGUUGAUUCUUUUCCCGUGAUCUUUCUUUUCUCCAUGACUUAAAUUUCCCCAGGAACUAUUCAAAUGCCGCAUCUGGGGUUUUGUUUUUGUUUUUUGAUGAAGUCAUGACUUUCUUUAAACAGUAAUUAUUAAACAAACCAAA